AUGCAGUCGAGCGCGAAUGGAGCAAUCCUAGUAGAGCGGCGCACGGGUGCGUAACACGUGGGUAACCUUCCUAGAAGACCGGAAUAACCUGCCGAAAGGCUGGCUAAUACCGGAUAAGCUCACGGAGACUUCGGUCUCUGUGGGAAAAGGUGGCCUCUGUACACAAGCUAUCACUUCUAGAUGAGCCCGCGGCCCAUCAGCUAGUUGGCGGGGUAAUGGCCCACCAAGGCAACGACGGGUAGCUGGUCUGAGAGGACGAUCAGCCACACUGGAACUGAGACACGGUCCAGACUCCUACGGGAGGCAGCAGUGGGGAAUUUUGCACAAUGGGCGAAAGCCUGAUGCAGCAACGCCGCGUGUGUGAUGAAGGUCUUCGGAUCGUAAAGCACUUUCGACCGGGACGAACACCCCUUGGCUAACAUCCAAGGGCCUGACGGUACCGGGAGAAGAAGCACCGGCUAACUCUGUGCCAGCAGCCGCGGUAAUACAGAGGGUGCAAGCGUUGUUCGGAAUUAUUGGGCGUAAAGCGCGUGUAGGCGGCUUUGCAAGUCGGGUGUGAAAGCCCUCAGCUUAACUGAGGAAGUGCGCCCGAAACUGCAUGGCUUGAGUACCGGAGAGGAUGGCGGAAUUCCCCAAGUAGAGGUGAAAUUCGUAGAUAUGGGGAGGAACACCGGGUGGCCGAAGGCGGCCAUCUGGACGGAUACUGACGCUGUGACGCGGAAAGCGGUGGGUAGCAAACAGAUUAGAUACCCUGGUAGUCCACGCCGUAA
rnacentral:rRNA from 1 species